rnacentral:rRNA from 1 species
CUAAGUUUCAACAACGGAUCUCUUGGCUCUCGCAUCGAUGAAGAACGCAGCGAAAUGCGAUAAGUAAUGUGAAUUGCAGAAUUCAGUGAAUCAUCGAAUCUUUGAACGCACCUUGCGCUCCUUGGUAUUCCUUGGAGCAUGCCUGUUUGAGUAUCAUGAAAUC